GACGAACGCUGGCGGCGUGCUUAACACAUGCAAGUCGAACGAAGCUUGCUUACGGAUUCUUCGUGUGAAGUAUGAUAUGACUGAGUGGCGGCCGGGUGAGUAACGCCUGAGUAACCUGCCCUUCUGAGGGGGCUAGCGUUUGGAAACGAUCGGUAAUACCGCAUCAUGUAUUUUGACCGCAUGAUCGAAAUACCGAAGAUUUAUCGCUGGAGGAUGGACUGGCGUCUGAUUAGGUAGUUGGUGAGGUGACGGCCAACGAAGCGGAGGAUCAGUGGCCGGAGAGGGUGAUCGGCCACACACAGAGGGAGAGAGGGACGGCACAGACUCCGGCGGGAGGAGGCGGGAGGGAAGAAUGAACAAUGGGAGCAAGACGGAGGAAGCAACGGCGCGGGAAGGAAGACGGUUGGCGGAUUGUAAAUUUCUGUUCUUAGGGAGGAAUAAUGACGGUAGCUAAGGAGCAAGCCACGGCUAACUACGUG
rnacentral:rRNA from 1 species